ensembl:lncRNA
GUAAAGCGCUUAGAACAAUGCCUGAUACACAGCAUGUGCUCCAUGGCUGGUACUCCUUACUACCUCUAUUUUCCCUUUUCCUUGGUGUAUAUUUUUUUCUGAUUAUGAAUGCCAUACUUAUUCGUGGUAGAAAUGUGUAAAAAUGUAGGAAAAACCCCCACCAGAGUGAAGGAGACAGAGGUAUGAACAAAUAAGGAGAAGACAGAGGAGGAAGAAGAUGAGCACAAUCGAGCAUGUGUACAAGGAAGAAUCUGGACUCUGACCUGGGGGAUGAGAAGGGACCCUUGGACGGCUUGGAGGUGCCAUCAUCCAAUCAGCAUUUAGGAGAGAUGACUCCAGCACAGGUGAGAAGGCAGAGCUAAGAGUGGAAGGCAGGAGCGCAGGAGGGGGCGGCACUCAGCACAACUUAACAUCCAGCGAUUUUGCCUGGGGCAACGACCAGCCUCCCAUCCCUACACACAGCACCACGGAGACUGGAGAGCCAUCUGCCAGGGGGUACUGAGCGGAGGUUGAAUGCUUUCCAAGGCCCUUCUGGAUUCUAAUUCUCAUUGGCUGGAGUGGCCCUGCUGAAUCUCAGGCAGAGAAGGGACUGAGCCCUCCCGUGCAGUGACAGGCCAUCACCCAGCAGCUCCACGUGCUCAGGAGUCUUUCCCAGAGCUUCACAACUGCACCUGCACACGAGGAGCAGGCACCUCCUGCUGCACUUCCUCUCCUUCACCACGCAGAACCUAGUGAGGCCUUGCUCAGCGUUUAGCUCCUAGAAACGUUCUCCAUUUCAUGACCAGUUCUUCUCAGUGUAAAUGU